GGGGAUAUAUCUCAAGGGUAGAGCAUUUGACUGCAGAUCAAGAGGUUCCUGGUUCAAAUCCAGGUGUCCCCU
rnacentral:tRNA from 3 species